rnacentral:lncRNA from 1 species
CUUGAAUUCUUAAGAUUUCUUUGCUCUAAUAGAAUUUUAAAUUGUGUACCCUUUACAGAUGUCUUUACUAAUCAUUUAAGUGUAAUUUCAUGGACAAUGAAAAUCCCAUUUGCCUGUUAUCUUCAUAACACUGCUCAUUUACAAGCCCCAAAGGAGCAAUUUUUGAUUGCCUUGUGCAAAUAUACAAGAUCUUUGCUCAAUCAGUUUCUUUGAUGAAUUAAUGAGAUGAAAC